rnacentral:rRNA from 1 species
UACGGAGGGGGUUAGCGUUGUUCGGAAUGACUGGGCGUAAAGCGCGCGUAGGCGGAUUGGCAAGUUGGGGGUGAAAUCCCGGGGCUCAACCUCGGAAUGGCCUUCAAGACUGCUGGUCUUGAGUUCGAGAGAGGUGAGUGGAAUUCCGAGUGUAGAGGUGAAAUUCGUAGAUAUUCGGAGGAACACCAGUGGCGAAGGCGGCUCACUGGCUCGACACUGACGCUGAGGUGCGAAAGCGUGGGGAGCAAACAGG